CCAAUAACACUGGGGGGUAUUCUGUCACAGCCCCCUCUGCGAUGCUGCCACACGGGCAGCUCCAAAGUCUUACAAUUCAAGUGUGAUUUUCAUUUUUUAUUUUUUUUUUAUCUUGGAGAAGUUCAACCUGUGUAUUACACACAUCAGGAAAGAAGAUUGUGGUGCCCAAGUGGAAAUGGAAUAAUUGACUUUGUCACGUAAUAACUGGAUGCUGACUGGACUCCAACUGAAGCUGUGAUUUUCCGUUCACUUUUGCAUGAGGAGGCUUUGCUCCAAAUAUCAAGGAUUAUAGCUGAAAUUGUCUCCAUAAUACCAUGGCGGAAGGAGCUGCCUCCUCCUCCUCCUCCACAGCCAGUGGGUCCAGUGGAGCAGCUCCACCACAGACGAUCCCCGUCAAGUCCAAAGGUCUGGGCCUCCUCGGGAAGCUGAAAGUGUCCGCGGAGCUGCUGGUGGCUCUGGCUGCUCUCCUGUCCUGGGUGGUGGUCGGAGUAGUGAUGUUUGACUUUGUGGAGUACAAGGCAGUCCCUGACAUUCAGCAAAUCGUUUCGGACCCCAUUGGAGCUGUAAACGACGCCGUCGAGGAAGCAUCCAGUCUACUCAAUAAGUUUCAGGAAUGUGCACCCGAUUUAAGUGACCCCACGUCCGCUGCCACCUACGUAGCUAAAGAAAUAUCUGAUGCAAAAGAUGGAUUUGUUCGCUAUUUUUCCGAUGAGGAAGGGAACUUCUACCUCAGCUAUGUUGACCCUGUGAUCAUCGGUAGACAAGCUUUCCAUUCGACCAAUGACUUAAUGCGUGGAGUCGUGGGCACCUUCAAGGACACAUUGUGCGCCAUUGUAGACGCCGCAUUAAAUACUAUAUCGGAUGUAAAUAAAGGAGAAGUUGACCUUAGCUGCAUUGACCCUGUGGUCGUAGGCCGAGGUGUCUUCAAUGUUACUAAUGGGUUUGUGUGUGGAGUGGGGAGCUACAUCCGGGAUGUGCUGUGUGCCCUUCUGGACACAAUUCUGGAUGUAGUGAAAGGAACCUCAGGAACCGUGGAUACUCCCUCCGUGGACCCUGUUGUAGUUGGCAGAAAUGUCUUCAGUCUUACAAAUGACACCGUGAGUAGACUAGUGGGCUACAUCCAGGACGUACUCUGUGCCAUCGUAGACAGUGUGCUGGAUUUAACUAAAGGAACCACCGACACAAGCUUCAUGGACCCUGUGGUUGUUGGUAGAAAUGUCUUCUGUGUUACUAAUGACUUUCUGAGUGGAAUAGCCGGAUACAUCCAGGAUGUGCUCUCUGCCGCCUUGGACGUGAUACUGGACACAGUAAAAUAUCUGCAGCAUGCUGUGGGAUUCAGCCCGACGUCAGCUCUAAAGAGAACAGCAGAAAUCAGCACAGAGCAGAUGAACACGCUUGUGAGCUACGUCUCCACGCUGAUUGGUCAACAAGACAUCAUGCCAGAAGUUUCCAUUGACCCCAUGAAAGUGGUUGAAGAUGCUCUGUUGGAGGCCUCGGACAAGAAAGAUUUGUUCGUGGCUUACAUGUCGAGCAUGCUUGUUGCUGAUCGAGAUGAAGCUGUAGCUCUCCCAUCUAAUUUGAAUAUGUUACGAAGAAAAGGAGAAUUUCUUCCGUCUUUGGGAAAAGUUCUCAAAGCGGCAAAGGAAAGACGAAAAGAAGUUAAAGACGCCAUUAUCAAAGACCUCGAGGAGGAGAAAAAAGAGGGAGCCAAACUUGAGGAAAUCAUUGAAAAGAAACCAAAAGAAGAAAAGCUAAAGGAAGAGGCUAAACCAUUUGAGAAGAAACCACUGAAGCACAAAGAAGAAGAGACUAAAAAGAAGGAAGAACCCAAUAAACCACCUAAAGGAGAGAAAAGAGUGAAGCAUACUAAGGAGGAGAAAGAAACAAAACAGGUGACAGAAGCGAAGAAAACCAAUAAAACAGAAAGACGCCAAGAAACCAUCUAAAACAGAACAAGAUGUCAUGAAACCAUCCACUGGAGUCAAGAAACCACUAAAAGAAGACAAAGUAGUCAAGCUACUACUUAAAGAAGAGAAAGAGGUUCAGAAAGAAACUAAAGCAGAGAAAGAGGAAAAGAAAUCAUUAAAAGGAGUCAAAAAAAUACCUCAAGAUGAGAAAGAGGAAAGGGAAGUUAAGAAAGCAUCUAUAGAGGAGAGAGAAGUCGAGAAACCAUCUCAAGGUGAGAAGGAGGUCAAGAAACUACAUGAAGAAGAGAAAGAAGUCAGGAAACCAAUUCAAGAAAAGGAAGCAGUAAAGAAAUCAUCUCACAAAGUGAAAGAAGUCCAGAAACAAACUCAAGCAGAGAAAAACAUCAAGAAACCAUCUAGAGAAGAGAGGUAUGUGAAGAAAAACGACAAAAAAGAAGUGAAGAAACCACCUAUAGAGGAGAAAGAGAUCACGAAAGCAUCUCCAGAAGUGAAAGAGAUCAAGAAACCAUCUGAAGAACAGACAGAGGUCAAGAAGACUAGACAAGAAACACAAUACAAGAAAGAAGAGAAAGAAGUCACAAAAGCAUUUGAGGAAGAGAGAGAAGUCAAGAGACUAUCAAGAAAAGAUAAUAAUGUUGAGAAACCAUCUGAAGAAGAAAAAGAAGUCAUAAAAAUCCCUGGACAAGAGAAACAAGUCAGGAAACCAAUUGCAGAAAAGAAAGAGGUAAAUAUAUCAUCUCAAGAAGAGAAGGAACCUCAAAAACCAACUCAGGCCCUGAAGAAAGUCAAGAAACGAUCGAAAGAACAGACGACGGUCACGAAACACACUAGACAAGAAAAACAAUGCAAUAAACCCACUCGAGUUGAGAAAGUAGUUGAAAAAAAACCUGAAGAGGAGAAAGAAGUCACAAAACCACGUGAAGAGAGCAAAGUCAAGACACCAUCCAGAGAGGAGAAAAGAGUCAAGACGCCACUAAAAGAAGAGAAACAAAUCAAGAAAACAUCUAAAGAGGAGAAACCAUUCAGGGAAACUUCUAAAGAAGAGAAAGAGGGCAAGAAAACACCUAAAGAACUGAAAAAAGUCAAGAUUCCACACAGAGACGUGACAAACGUAACAAAACCACUUCAAGAAGCAGUCAAGAAACAUUCAACAGAAGAAAAACAAGUCAAGACACCACCCAAAGAAAAGGAAGACGUCAAGACACCACCCAAAGAGGAGAAAGAGCUCAAGACUCCACCCAAAGAGGAGAAAAAGAUCAAGACACCACCGAAAGGAAGGAAAGAAGUCAAGACUCCACCCAAAGAGGAGAAAGAAGUCAAGACACCACCCAAAGAGGAAAAAGCAGACAAGAAACCACUUAAAGAAAAGAAAGAGGUCAAGACUCCACCCAAAGAGGAGAAAGAAGUCAAGACACCACCCAAAGUGGAGAAAGAAGUCAAGACACCACCCAAAGAAAAGAAAGAAGUCAAGACUCAACUUAAAGAAAAGAAAGAGAUCAAGACUCCACCCAAAGAGGACAUAGAAAUCAAGACACCACCCAAAGUGGAGAAAGAAGUCAAGACACCACCCAAAGAGGAGAAAGCAGACAAGAAACCACUUAAAGAAAAGAAAGAGGUCAAUACUCUACCCAAAGAGGAGAAAGAACUCAAGACACCACCCAAAGUGGAGAAAAAGGUCAAGACACCACCCGAAGAGGAGAAAGAAGUCAAGACACCACUCAAAGAAAAGAAAGCAGUCAGCACUCCAUCCAGAGAAAAGGGAGAAGUCAAGAUACUAUCUAACCGAGGAAAAGGAUUAAAGAAUUCGCCAAAAGAAGAAAAAGAAGCCAACAAACCAUUGAAAGUACAUAGAAAUGUAUACAAACCAUCAAGGGCGGAGAGGGAAGUUAAUACAUCUUCUUUAAAAGGAAGAGAAGCCAAGAAACAACUUAAAGAAGUUAAAGAAGCAAUAAAACCAUCUCAAGAAGAGAAAGAGGUGAAGAAACAUCUUAAAGAACAGAAAGAAGAGAUAAAACCAUCUCAAGAAGAAAAAGAGGUGAGGAAACAUCUUAAAGAACAGAAAGAAGAGAUAAAACCUCUGAAAGAAGAACUAACUGAAAUGAAGUCUCACAAAGAUGAGAAUAAAUCACUCAAAGAAAGGCUACAAUUGAAACUGAAAAAGCCUCAAGAAGAAAUUGUAGCGAAAGUAAUGAAGCCCAAAGAACUGAAGGAAGCAGGGGAGCCUUCCAAGGAAAGGAAAGAAUUGAAGAAACAUUCAAAAGAAAAGGAAAUAAGGGAGCCACCGAAGGAGGACAAAGAAAUCAAGAGACCUACAAAAGAAAAAGAGAAAAAAGAGGUUAAGAAUCCAUCUGAAGAUGACAAAGAAGUAAAAUACUUAAAGAAAGGGACGGAAGACAAGAAGCCGUCUCUGAGGGAUAAAAAAGAAAAAAUACUUUCAGUGGAGGAAAAAGAAGUCAUCACACCCAUAAAGAAAGAAAGAGACCCAAAGAAAUCUUCAAUGGAGAAAAACCAAGCAAAACCUUCCAAAGAAAAGGCAGUUCCAAAAAAGCUCUCCAGAAGAAAACAAGCACAAGAGAAACCUUCAAGAGAUGGAAAGGAAUCAACAAUACUCUCUCGAAAGGAAGAAAAUGAACCAAAGAAGCUCUCUGAAGAACAAGACCCUGAGAAACCCUCCAAAGACCAGAGAGAAGUGACUCCCAAAGAGCAAAAGGAAGCAAAGAAAAUAUCUAUUGAAAACGUAGAACAAACAAAACCCUCCACAGAGAAAGAAAUCAAAAAGACCCAUAAAGACCAACCUGUCCAGAUUGGUGAUACUAAGAAAGAUGCUGGACCCAAAAAGGCUGAGAGGAGGAUUAAAGUAGUCAAGGAAGAGGUUGCAUCUGUUCUGAAGAAGGAACACCGUAAUGUCACAAACGCAGCUGUGGAACCCAAGAGGGCAGUCGAGGUGCUGAAAGCUGCCAAAAAGCAGAGAGUUCUUAUCCCGAAAAAGGAGCACAUGAUUGUGACAAAGACAGAGGUUCCUGAAACUCCUAAAGUGAAAGCCAAACAAGAAUCUGCAAAGAAAGUGGCAGCUCAUAAAGAGCCCGUACAGGAACCAAAGGAAAAAAUCACACCUACGCGUGUUAAACGAGAUGAUGAACCUAAGAAGGCUGCACAGAGGAUUAAAGUACUUCUCAAUGUUACGAAAGCAGAGAUUUCUAAACACCCUGACUUGAAAGCCAAACCAGAACCUGCGAAGAAAGACGUUUCAAAGGACAAAGCAAAAGCGGGUCCUGCUAAGAAAGAAGCUGUUGCUCUAAAAGAAAAGGCCAAAACAGUCAACAUGAAAAGAGAACGAGAGGGCGCUCCCAGAAAUGCGUCUCUGGUCAAACCGAGAGUCAAAAUAGUGCCUGUGAAAAAAGAGGUCACAGUGCCAAAAAAGGAAGUCAAAGCAGCUUCUGCAAAAAAAGAAGCUGCUCUAAAAGAAAAUACAAAGACAAAAACCUCACAGAAAGAACCUGAGACCAAGCUGCUUCUCGCCAGAAAAGCAAUUAAGUUAACAAAGGAGACGCCUCAGCCACCUCGUGGAAAGAAAGCUCCUUCUAAAACUGAGGAUGACACCAAGGGAAAUGUCAAAUCCCUCCUCAGGAAGAAAGAACUGGAGACUCCUAAAGAAAAGAGCAAACUGGCUGCAGUGAAGAAAGCACCCGAGGUUCUAAAAGAAAAGGUCAAAACCUCUGCUGCAAAGAAAGAGGUCAGAGUUCGUAAAGAAAACGCAGAGCCUGUAAAACAAGAAAAAACAUUUGAGAAGAGGACAACCAAGGAGGAGAAAGCUAAAGAGGAUAGAGUUCUUAAAGAAAUACAAGAGCCAGCAAAGAAAGAAAGAUCUACUGAGAAGAAAGCUGCCAUGGAGGAGAAAAUAAAAGCUGGGCCUUCUGUAUCAGACAGCUUCCAAAUUGAAGAAGAGCUGCCCUACUUCCAGUGUUUCUUUUUGGACGAGGACGAGGCCCAAUUUCCUUUCCACGCCUUCUCGCCGAUGCAUAUUUGAGGCUUCAGUCUAAAUCCGGUCUGAGGUUUACAAUUUUUGUCAAUUUUACUGAUAAUGACCUGGUCACACCCUGCGCUGCUGAACGCAGCCUGCUGUUGGUUCUCACGAGAAAACCACGAACAGCAAAGGAUGAUGGGGGAUUUAAUGUGACGGUCGGACUUUCUUUCACUUCCAGAUUUGGUUGAGCUCUCGUACCGAAUACAUGCAGCCGGUGUCAUUCCUUUCCGUUUUGUUAUUUAUUUUGUGUGUUCAAUGGUUUUUAAAGGUGGAUAUCUUGGUGGAAUGGUGGAACUAUGUCGAGUAUUACCUCCGUGGAUCAUUCAUUUAGAUCCCCACAGCAACACAAGCAAAUGCAUUUUUUUUAGAAGGAGCACAAGGCUUUAAACAAGAUACAAAAUGGCCACAAUUGUGGAUUAAAGGUGGACAGAGCGUCGAUUCCCAGCGUUUACUUGAAAAGUGGUUCGUAGAGAAAUAGUAAGAAGAUUGUUAUGCACCAUAUGUAAUUUCAACUUUGUCCUUCAUCGCAUUGUUUAUGGGCAGAUUUUUAGUGCGUAUUUUAUUUUGCUUUUAAAGCCCUGGAAUUAACAAUUGGGCAUUUGUAGUGUUUGUUUAUUAUUCCAUUAUUCUUGAUAUCAUUUCAUUAAUUUCAAGGAAACCUUGUUUUUCACGUUCCUCUAUCUUACGAGAGAGAUGUAUUUUUCCGUUUUUGACUACGGCCUGUAAUGUGUCUAAAGGAAUGACCACGCAUUGUAUAUGAGAGCUCCCAGACGUACUGAUGAAACGCUACCUAUAAAGUCUUAUUUAACUGUGGACAUAUGCACACGCUCCUCAUUUGGGCGUUGGCGCUGAAAACGAGCAUUGCCUCGCCUGUACCUGUCAGAAUGAAUGAAGACGUGUUGUAAAAGGAUUUUCCCAACUGCUCACUCGGUUCCAAUUCCUUGACUUUAGGCGUUUGAAUUUGAUGAAACUUGUUGAAGUCAAUAAGAGAGAGCGAGUAAAAGAAUUGUCUCGCACAGUUGCACUGGUCACUCGAUAGACCAAAAAUGUGUGCAAAUAUGUAAAUAGCCUACAUGAUAUAUUGCAGCAACCUUUUGAACAGGUUCCUAACAUAUGACAUUUUAUUCAUGCAUAACUUAUAUUACAUGCAAAGGAUUUGUAUUACCUUUAACAAAUAUCCUGUGCUGUACAGUAUGGGUGACAUUAUUUCAGAUUGAUUUUGAAUACAAUUACUGGUCAGAACUUGAAUCCAAGUUAUAUUUUUGAAAUCUCUGAAGAGUGAUCGUGUGAAAGAUGAUGACAAGAGCUGCGAUAAUCAGCUCUGCAGGUUUUGAAGACCUGGAUGUUGCUACGGUGGUUAUGUUGGUAUCAAAGUGAAACAUUGAGAAGAAACAUUUACACAUUUGAAAAUAUCUGCACAUCAUGUGGCUACACUUUAAAUGGAUGCAGAUGGCGUCACAUGAUCUCGGAUGUAAACUGGUACGUGGACUCUCAGCCCGUACAAGCUGUUGUUUACCUGUGCCUCUUUAAAUUCUGCUCCAUAUGCCGCAUAGAAGACAGUUCGUGGAGCUUGUGCCACUUAUCCCAAGUCCACUCAAAUCCCCUUAUCUGUUUGGUUAGAAUAAUAGUCCAUGCAGUCGAUGGGGCAUAGGUCCUUUUUCCAAAAGUCGCAGCCUGCUGUCUUUGCAUGUGUAUUUUGAGAUGCAGAAUUGGAGCAAAAUAUUGCUGCUAGAAUGACAAAUGGCGUUUUGAUUUGAGUGGACAAUAGAGGAAUAUUUGUUUUUAUGGUUUGAAUUGAAUUUGACCUGAAAUGGACUUGUCAGGAUGUGCAAUACAGAAUUAAUUUAUGAAUAUCUGAUUGAUCAGAACCCUGUACAUUUAUCUUUUAGUCCUUGAAUGAAAUAUGCAUGAAGUGUGUUCGUGUUUAAUGUUUUUUGUGAUGGUUUUUACCUCCUUUGAGAAUAGCAACACAUUGGAAGUUAUCGAGUCACAUUUGAAAUAAUCUUAUUGUAAAUUGUUAAAUAAGUGGCAAGAUUGAUCGAUUUAUCAUCACUACUGCAACUGCUUUAACUGUAACCAAACGAAUGUGCCUAUGUGAAGAGUAGCAAUGUGACAUUAAAACAUAGCAAGUGUU
ensembl:lncRNA